CUUUAACACUUGUUUUUAGGUUAUUCCGCUUCGGCGGAGUAUUAAAAAGGAACCGUGUGUGAAUCACGGGCUGUCGCGCAACUGUAUGUUGUAAUGAGGAAUGCCAUUCCUCAUAACGCUGCAUAAUUAGCCACUGUAUCAGGCCUCAAUGGUAUGGGAAGGCAUGCAGCCAAACAAUAAGCCAGGAUACUUGCCUGAAAAUUGAGACCAAU
rnacentral:ncRNA from 1 species